rnacentral:rRNA from 1 species
AGCAGCCGCGGUAAUUCCAGCUCCAAUAGCGUAUAUUAAAGUUGUUGCAGUUAAAAAGCUCGUAGUUGAAUUUUUCGGGGUCAGUAGAUUGGUCAUGCCUCCGGUAUGCACUGGUCUUACUGGCUCCUCCUUCCUGAUGAACCGUAAUGCCAUUAAUUUGGUGUUGCGGGGAGACUGGACUGUUACUUUGAAAAAUUGAGUGUUUAAAGCAGGCUAACGCUUGAAUACAUUAGCAUGGAAUAAUGAAAUAGGACGUUCGAUCUUAUUUGUUGGUUUCUAAGAUUGACGUAAUGAUUAAUAGGG